rnacentral:antisense_RNA from 1 species
AGUAACCAGCCUGUAACUCCUGGGGAGAAGGGGGCGGAGAGGGGGAAAAUGCGGGAGAGAGGGAGAGAGCGAGGCAACCCGGGGCUCAAAACAGUCAAAUUCAAAUUAAAAGGUCGAGACACGAAUCAGGAAACGGAAUCUGGAGAACAACUUGUCUUUCCCGUCGCCCCACAUUUUUCCUUGGACAGAGCCUAGGGUUCAGACUUUCCGAAGGGCUGGAGUUUGGCGGGGAAAGGACUGGAGCCCAGCGCCCUGGCGUGGAGGAGUGAGGAGGCUAGACCGCUUCUAAGGAGGCCCAAGCCCGCUGCGGCUAGAAGCCCGCAGAAAGAAAUCCGCCGAAUUUCCCCAUCCAGGAGUGGAGAGAGAAGACGCAGGGAUUCCUGAACCUCCGGAAAACUGGAAGGAAAUGUAGAGUGUAUGAUUUGCUUGCAGGACCGGCCAGGGGAGAUUUGAAAUGGUUUUGUGUUUUCAUUUGCCGGGUCACCGUGGCCUCAGCAUGGGGGUUAUCCAGGGCAAGGUUAGGCUGUUUAGGCCCCAGACUUGG